rnacentral:lncRNA from 1 species
GUAGGGUUUAAACCUUAGAGAAGUCAGCUCCACACUGCCGUCCAGAAGAUGGAGGUAAUGCACCUGCAAGCUGGUCGCCAACCGCCAUUAAAACAAGAAGAAGAUUAAGACCGCGUUUUAGCAGUCUAACUUUGGCUUAAUCAAAAAGGUAGCAUUUUUGUUUCCUUUUUAGUUUUAUAUUUAUAGUAUAUGGUAUGCAUUUGGGGCAUAAAAUGAUUACUUUCCGGCCUCACACAAACGCAAUUUGGCGUCCACUUCAGUCCAAUGGCCGCUGCCAGUAGCUCGUUUACAGCUCCACCUUUACUGCUUCUACCACCACAACAACCAGCACCCAGCCCGCGGUGCUGCCUGGCUGGAAGGUUCUUGUAUACAGCCCGGCUGUAGGGGAUGAAGCACAGGCCCAGUGGACAGUGGCAUGAUAGCAUGAUGUGAACCAGUACAAAACCAGUACCUCUAAAUGUGUUUUGAUCAGAUUUAUAUGAUUUUCUGCCAGUAUUGAGCAGCAACGGUGCGAGGUGAAAGUGGGAGAGGACUAGACAGCAGGGCCCACUAUUCUUGUCACUCCAGGAAUG